rnacentral:tRNA from 1 species
UGGCUCAGAGGUUAAGAGCACUGGCUGCUCUUCCAGAGGUCCUGGGUUCGAUUCCCAG